rnacentral:rRNA from 1 species
UCGUGGGGGAUAACUACUCGAAAGAGUAGCUAAUACCGCAUACGAUCUGAGGAUGAAAGCGGGGGACCUUCGGGCCUCGCGCGAUUGGAGCGGCCGAUGGCAGAUUAGGUAGUUGGUGGGAUAAAAGCUUACCAAGCCGACGAUCUGUAGCUGGUCUGAGAGGACGACCAGCCACACUGGGACUGAGACACGGCCCAGACUCCUACGGGAGGCAGCAGUGGGGAAUUUUGGACAAUGGGCGAAAGCCUGAUCCAGCAAUGCCGCGUGCAGGAUGAAGGCCUUCGGGUUGUAAACUGCUUUUGUACGGAACGAAAAAGCUUCUCCUAAUACGAGAGGCCCAUGACGGUACCGUAAGAAUAAGCACCGGCUAACUACGUGCCAGCAGCCGCGGUAAUACGUAGGGUGCGAGCGUUAAUCGGAAUUACUGGGCGUAAAGCGUGCGCAGGCGGUUAUGUAAGACAGAUGUGAAAUCCCCGGGCUCAACCUGGGAACUGCAUUUGUGACUGCAUGGCUAGAGUACGGUAGAGGGGGAUGGAAUUCCGCGUGUAGCAGUGAAAUGCGUAGAUAUGCGGAGGAACACCGAUGGCGAAGGCAAUC